AGGACGAACGCUGGCGGCGUGCUUAACACAUGCAAGUCGAGCGAGGCCUUCCCUUCGGGGGAGUGCCCUAGCGGCGAACGGGUGAGUAACACGUGGGCAACCUGCCCCUAGCACUGGGAUAACUCCGGGAAACCGGGGCUAAUACCGGAUAUGACCUUUGAGGGCAUCCUCUUUGGUGUAAAGGAUUCUGGCUAGGGAUGGGCCCGCGGCCUAUCAGCUUGUUGGUGGGGUAAUGGCCUACCAAGGCGACGACGGGUAGCCGGCCUGAGAGGGCGACCGGCCACACUGGGACUGAGACACGGCCCAGACUCCUACGGGAGGCAGCAGUGGGAAUAUUGCACAAUGGGCGAAAGCCUGAUGCAGCGACGCCGCGUGAGGGAUGACGGCCUUCGGUUGUAAACCUCUUUCAGCUCCGACGAAGCGAAAGUGACGGUAGGAGCAGAAGAAGCACCGGCCAACGUACGUGCCAGCAGCCGC
rnacentral:rRNA from 1 species